GUCACUUUGCCGGAGUGGUUAACGGGAUCGCCUGCUACUUAUAUAAGCAGCCAAGCGGUUGGGCUUUGCCCGCGUGUGUUCGAAUCGCACAGGUGACG